AUUGAACGCUGGCGGAAUGCUUUACACAUGCAAGUCGAACGGCAGCACGGACUUCGGUCUGGUGGCGAGUGGCGAACGGGUGAGUAAUGUAUUGGAACGUGCCCAGUCGUGGGGGAUAACGUAGUGAAAAUUACGCUAAUACCGCAUACGAUCUAUGGAUGAAAGCGGGGGAUCGCAAGACCUCGCGCGAUUGGAGCGGCCGAUAUCAGAGUUAGGUAGUUGGUGGGGUAAAGGCCCACAAGCCAACGAUCUGUAGCUGGUCUGAGAGGACGACCAGCCACACGGGAACUGAGACACGGUCCAGACUCCUACGGGAGGCAGCAGUGGGGAAUUUUGGACAAUGGGCGAAAGCCUUAUCCAGCCAUUCCGCGGGCAGGAUGAAGGCCCUCGGGUUGUAAACUGCUUUUGUACAGAACGAAAAGGUUUCUACUAAUACUAGGAGCUCAUGACGGUACUGUAAGAAUAAGCACCGGCUAACUACGUGCCAGCAGCCGCCGUAA
rnacentral:rRNA from 1 species